CACCAGGUUGAUUCUGCCUGACGUAUGCGCUUGUCUUGAGGACUUAGCCAUGCAAGCUAGCGAAGCAUUUAAUGUGGAGCGGCAGACAGCUCAGUAAUACAGUUAUGAUUUACCCGUAGAAGUAGGAUAACCUUGGUAAGCUAAGGCUAAUACUACAUAGCGAAUAUAGAAAUAUGAAUAUUGAUUUCGUGAUACGGUUAAGUUUCUGGCCUAUUAGCUAGUUGGUAGGGUAACAGCCUACCAAGGCGAUGAUGGGUAACGGAAAAUCAGGGUUUGAUUCCGGAGAGGGAGCCUGAGAAAUAGCUCCCACGUCCAAGGACAGCAGCAGGCGCAAAACUUACCCAAUAUGAUAAUAUGAGGUAGUGAAGAGACAUGACUUUCGUAGAGAGGGGUGCGUAAAGAACAUCCCGAUCGACUGGAGGGCAAGUCUGGUGCCAGCAGCCGCGG
rnacentral:rRNA from 1 species